rnacentral:snRNA from 1 species
GCAUGUGAGGGUGAUCUGGCUGCAACAUCUGUCACCCAUUGACUAUCAGGAUUGAUUCUGCUGGGUUGAUUCGGCUGAUCUGGCUGGCUAGGCAGGUGUCCUCUUCUUCCCUCCCAGCUCCGUGUACAUCCUUUGCAAAGCUGUGGAUUAGAACAAAGAUGACAACCUUCCCCGCUAGAGGAGAACUGGUCCUGGGUCAAGGGUAUAUCAGUAGAUGCUCUCCCCUGCUAGAACCUGCAAACAAGCUCUCAAGAACACGUGAAAUAUGCUAGGAAAAAACAUCUCAUAUUUGAGAAAAAUUGUUAGGCAGUAUGCCUAAAACA